rnacentral:lncRNA from 1 species
UAACCUCAAAAAUGUCAAUCAAUCUAACAAACCAAAAAAGGAACACUGAUUACAUCAUAAUAUAGAGCACCCAUGAUGAAGACUGAGACUCAGAUGAGGCAGCACACAAGCCUUCCCUGCAUUCUGUGGUCCAUAUUGUAGGAAACAAUCCUCUCCUGCCACCACGACUGCCCCUUCCUGCAUGCGAUCCAUUAGAUAUCAGCUAACAAAGACUGUGUUAAAGGAAACUUGAAGCCAAUGUACAAGCAAAGAGGAUUUUCAAAAAAUAGCAAGGGCCUUAAAACAAGAAAACACCAACACCAAAGUGUGUUGUCAUCAGAAGAAGUUCAAUAAAUAUUUGUUAGAGGGAGAAAUAAAGGACAGUGUUUCAAAAACUGGCAGUGCAAACCUUUUUGUGAGUUCAUUGCUAACACUCU